rnacentral:rRNA from 1 species
UGCGACGCAGCCUGAUGCAGCACGCCGCGUGAACGAUGAAGGCCUUCGGGUUGUAAAGUUCUUUUCUUGGAGAAGAAUCCAUGACGGUAUCCAAGGAAUAAGCCCCGGCUAACUACGUGCCAGCAGCCGCGGUAAUUAC